rnacentral:sRNA from 1 species
CUCAUUGAUGUCGCUAUACUCACUGACAUCAAUCAGCUGAUUGAGAUGAACCUGAAUGACCCACUAGAAAAAUCAAGCACGUGUGGACAAGAAACUAAUAUUCGAUUCAUCCAAAGGAACGUUACUUUUCAAUUCGUUCCAACGAGAUCGCCACCUUCUAUACAUCGUCUGCAGGAUGGCUUCGACUCACUGGCCGAGAAAUCUAAAGCUCAAGCAUUUACCUGCCAUUUUGAUGAGUUGGUUUAUCUGGAGCAUUCUGGCAGUAGCAGUAUUUCCAGAAUUCAUUUCGACACCAUGACCGAUCACUCUGUGUAUCCUAAUCUCAAGGUUUUUAAUUUUUCCUCAAACUAUCUUCCCACACUCCCGAGACAGCUGAACCAGUGGUGGAACUAUUUCCCUUCAUUGCGUCUACUGGACCUUUCUAACAACAACCUUAAAUCAUUUUCCUUCGAACAUCCUGAUGUCAGACAAGAGUAUUUGUACAUCAGCUUAGUAAAUAACAACAUUACAAGCGUGCCUCAAGACCUAUUCUCGUAUAUGAGUGGGAAAACGCCAAUUCUCAUUAACUUACUGGGUAAUCCUAUUCACUGCGAUUGCAAAGCUAGUCCUCUGUCCUCUUAUCUGAGAAAACUUCGACUAAGAGUACCCCAGUUUAAGGAUCUUUCCAAUGUUAAAUGUCAUUCGCCAAGUAAUCUCUCUGGAAGAAUGGUACGGACUGUUAACUUCCAGAUGUGUUAAGUCGGCAAUUAUUUUUUUUAAUUUUUACUUUUGAAUUUAUUUAUUAUCCACUGUAUAAAUCCAAGUUACCUUGCUAAGUCUUCUUAAUCCAAUCAUUGUUUUGAUCAUAUUUUGAUGUUUUAUUAUUUAUAUAUUAUUCUUUUAUCGUGAAAUAAAUCAUAAAGAAAAAUUGUU